AUUGAAUAGCAUAGUUAUCUCAGUUUGUCCUCUAUUCAGCUGAACAUCGAUCCGAUCAGUUGGAUUUGUCCUGUAAUCCAUAUUAAGUCCAAAACGCAGCAUCUCGACGAAUCAAAUCAAAAUCAGAAUCGUCGAAAGCAUCCAACGGCUGAGACAGCAACGAAUACACGAUGGAUCAGCCAACAGCAUAAUAUUUCCUCGAAACAGUUGAAAGAGGAAAUGAAUGAAAUGAAAGCAGUGCGUAAUGUACGAUCUCUGAGAGAAUGAUUCGAUUUCUCGCUUCCCCAUAUGCACAAAACUCACUGACUGAGGCCCAACCAACGAAACAAAGCAUCUCUGUUUCUUUUUCGCUUCAGAGAGAGAGAGAGA
rnacentral:misc_RNA from 1 species